UUCCCUGUGUCAUUUUUGUCUUUUAUUUUCCAUCAAAAUGUAGCUUCUGUGAGCCUUAAGAUGUUAGUUAGAUAGGACUGAUACCACAGAAUCACAGAAUGGCUGAGGCUGGCAAGGUCCCCAGGGUCCAUCAGCCCAAGCCCUGCUGAGCAGGGGCACCCAGAGCAGGGUGCCCAGGCCCAUGUCCAGGUGACUCUGUCAUCCGCACAGCACAGUCCCUGGUGUUCAGAGGGAUCCUGCUGUGUUCCUGUUUGUGCCAGUUUCCUCCUGCUCUGGCACUGAGCACCACUGACAAGAGCCCAGCUCCAUCUUUGCACCUUUCCUUCAGGUACUUGUGGAUGUUGAUGAGGUCGUUGAUGAGGACAUUGAAGAAGGCCCUGAGCCUUCUUUUCUCCAGGCUGAGCAACCAGCUCUCUCAGCCUCUCCUCACAGAAGAGGUGCUCCAGUCCUUUGUCAUCUUGGCUCCAAGUUGGACUCUUCCCACAGCGUCCAGAUCUCUCAUGCUGGAAAGGCCCAGGACUGGACCCAGCUCUCUAGAGACAGCCUCACAGCAGAGGGGAAGGAUCAUCUCCCUUGACCUGCUGCCGAUGCUUUGCCUCAUGAAGCCCAGGUCAUCGUCAUCCUCCUGUGCAGCAGGGGCACCUGGCUGGCUCUCAUUCAUAUCAUUUAUUAGACACAAGUAGGAAAGGAAACAUACCAGGCUUACUAAUUUCUCAAGGAAGAUAGGACCACAGACUUACUUAACCUUCCUUUUUCCUUGCGUUUGACACCUACUAUGAUUUUAAAGCAUGGAUUUUGGUGUUUGUUUCUGCAUCUUGUCACUUCAGGUUCCUCAGCACAGGCAGGAACUCAGCGCUUUUGGUCCCUGGGAUCUGAUUUUGUUACAGUUUCCUCCUUUGGCCACUUGCCAGAAAAUCACCUAGGAAACCCAUGUACCAGUUGCCAUGGUCACUUAGGAGAGAACACGUUUCCUUCUAUUGCACAGUGUAUUGGUACCAGGAAACCCACAAGCUUUUUGCCUGAGUGCAUAAAAAUUAAUGAGCAAGAAAGCGUUCACCUGGAGUUUGAUGUGAAAAGCACACUGGACUGCAAAAGCAGUGAUAGCUGGUUAAACUUACUGGGAUGUAAGUGGAGCCAGGUCACUGCCAAAGCACAGAAGGAUAUGAACAGAUCUGAGCUUAUUCUGCCCAAGCAGCUCUGUGAAAGAUCUGGGGACUGUUUCUCGCUACCUGGAAGCAGAGCUGGAGCCAGGCGGAGCGAGGCGCUCAGCCGGCGGGUGGCAGCACGGGCUCGGCGCUGA
rnacentral:lncRNA from 1 species